rnacentral:rRNA from 1 species
UACAGAGGUCUCAAGCGUUGUUCGGAUUCAUUGGGCGUAAAGGGUGCGUAGGUGGCGCCGUAAGUCGGGUGUGAAAUUUCGGAGCUUAACUCCGAAACUGCAUUCGAUACUGCGGUGCUUGAGGACUGGAGAGGAGACUGGAAUUUACGGUGUAGCAGUGAAAUGCGUAGAUAUCGUAAGGAAGACCAGUGGCGAAGGCGGGUCUCUGGACAGUUCCUGACGCUGAGGCACGAAGGUCAGGGGAGCAAACGGG